CCGCCAAAUAUAAAUGUGCGAGAUCGUCGUACUACAUGAGUAAGUUGAUCUUAUUAAUACAAUGAAGUUCGUCCUCUAUAUACUAUUGUUGGUGCUGGUAAUUUUCUCAACAGCAUCUGCAGUUUGCCCUCUUGAAUGUAUGUGUGUUGCUAGUGGUUGUGAUAGCAAUUGUAAUUUUGGAGCGUGCCCGUCUAAUGCGUCCCAGGUUCAGUGCUGUCAACCUUUCUAGUACUGUCACCUCUAAAUGUAUUAUGAAGAAGCUAACAUGCGAGUAGUAAAUCCGGAUUUAAGAAUACAAAUCAAUUGAAUCUAUGCCAUUUUCGUCUUCAAAAUUAUCUUAAAAUACAAUAAUUAUUAUUAAAUCUAAACGCACUUCUUGUAAAUGUAAUUAUCAAUAGGUAUGUACCUACUUUUAGCACAGAUUUAAAUCUGUGCUUUUAGUUAGGAAACUAUUUGUGUAAAUAAUAAAACCGGAAAUCGAA